UAGUGAGAUAUAAAUGUUGACACAUUGCCUA
rnacentral:piRNA from 1 species